UACAGAGGGGGCAAGCGUUGUUCGGAAUUACUGGGCGUAAAGGGCGCGUAGGCGCCUUCUAAGUCGAACGUGAAAUCCCCGGGCUCAACCCGGGAACUGCGUCCGAUACUGGAAGGCUUGAAUCCGGGAGAGGGAUGCGGAAUUCCAGGUGUAGCGGUGAAAUGCGUAGAUAUCUGGAGGAACACCGGUGGCGAAGGCGGCGAUCCUGGACCGGUAUUGACGCUGAGGCGCGAAGCCAGGGGAGCAAAGCGGG
rnacentral:rRNA from 1 species